AUUGAACGCUGGCGGCAGGCCUAACACAUGCAAGUCGAGCGGAGCGGCGGACGGGUGAGUAAUGCCUAGGAAUCUGCCUGGUAGUGGGGGAUAACGUCCGGAAACGGGCGCUAAUACCGCAUACUAUCAGAUGAGCCUAGGUCGGGUUCGCUAGUGGGUGGGGUAAAGGCCUACCAAGGCGACGAUCCGUAACUGGUCUGAGAGGAUGAUCAGUCACACUGGAACUGGGAAACGUGCCAGACGCCUACGGGAGGCAGCAGUGGGGAAUCUUCCGCAAUGGACGAAAGUCUGACGGAGCAACGCCGCGUGAGUGAUGACGGCCUUCGGGUUGUAAAGCUCUGUUAAUCGGGACGCAGUACCGGAAUAGAAAGCCACGGCUAACUACGUGCCAGCAGCCGCGGUAAUUC
rnacentral:rRNA from 1 species